GGCCACACUGGGACUGAGACACGGCCCAGACUCCUACGGGAGGCAGCAGUGGGGAAUAUUGCACAAUGGGCGCAAGCCUGAUGCAGCGACGCCGCGUGAGGGAUGACGGCCUUCGGGUUGUAAACCUCUUUCAGUAGGGAAGAAGCGAAAGUGACGGUACCUGCAGAAGAAGCGCCGGCUAACUACGUGCCAGCAGCCGCGGUAAUACGUAGGGCGCAAGCGUUAUCCGGAAUUAUUGGGCGUAAAGAGCUCGUAGGCGGUUUGUCGCGUCUGCCGUGAAAGUCCGGGGCUCAACUCCGGAUCUGCGGUGGGUACGGGCAGACUAGAGUGAUGUAGGGGAGACUGGAAUUCCUGGUGUAGCGGUGAAAUGCGCAAAUAUCAGGAGGAACACCGAUGGCGAAGGCAGGUCUCUGGGCAUUAACUGACGCUGAGGAGCGAAAGCAUGGGGAGCGAACAGGAUUAGAUACCCUGGUAGUCCCUGCCGUAAACGUUGGGGCACUAGGUGUGGGGGACAUUCCACGUUUUUCCCCCCCCG
rnacentral:rRNA from 1 species